UCAAUCACCCACGGGGCAAGCCCGGGGGUUGGUGGAGAGCCGAACCCUGAUUGAUUAGCCCAAGUGCUUCGUGCACUACGUUAUGCCGGAAUAUAUAGGCACCGCGGGACGAGUGUCCUAAUCCCGCGCUCUGC
rnacentral:sRNA from 1 species